rnacentral:rRNA from 1 species
CACGUAGGGCGCAAGCGUUGUCCGGAAUUAUUGGGCGUAAAGAGCUCGUAGGCGGUCUGUUGCGUCUGCUGUGAAAACUCGGGGCUUAACCCCGAGCCUGCAGUGGAUACGGGCAGACUAGAGGUAGGUAGGGGAGAAUGGAAUUCCCGGUGUAGCGGUGAAAUGCGCAGAUAUCAGGAGGAACACCAAUAGCGAAGGCAGCUCGCUGGGACGGUAUUGACGCUAAGGCGCGAAAGCGUGGGGAGCAAACAGG